GGAAGCAUUCCCGCUACGCCACAUAUGUUUACAUGAUACCUGUAGCUGGUACCUUUGUAGCUAGCUUCUAGCAUGUUACUUUCGUUUACUUUUUCGCUUAGUUCUUUCUGGAACGGGUGCUUCGUCGUUGACGAGGUACCUUUUGUAACGUACUGGAUCCAUUCUUUUUCUUUAUUUGUUGCUUAUUUACCACAGACCGUAAAGCAUAAUGGCAAGCAUGUAUCCACUCUGCUCCGAUCGGCCGCUACAGCGUCGCGUGCGAAUGACGUCAUCAACCGCGCUGGGCCGCUUGUUGAUUACGUCAUUCCCAUGCAGGCGCGAUCGCGCCGAAAGAUAACGGCUGGGACUAAGUAUAAAGUAUUAAAAAUGGAGACAUCAGCGUUCCGCUAUGUCCUACUUGAAUGGACUGAGGGUGAUGAUAGUGGGGCGCAUAGUAUUUUGGCGAUGGACUGUGUCCGGAACUUUUCAGUUCAAGAUUUUUUUUGCCUCGACUGAACAAAACAAGAAGCUGGUGGAAUGGCGAAAAAGCCGCCAACCCUGGUCGGUUCACCGAGCCAAAAGUAUUGACGUGGCAAAAUUUGAAAAACCUCCAAAUUAAACUGCGUGAGAUCGAGGUGGAGAAAGAGGGCACACAAACAAAACGUCCUCACAUCCCAAACUCAAAGUACAUUGAGCAGCAGGGGAAGACUGAGAAGGCUUCAAAAAAAAGAGAGGGUCUUCCAAAUACAAGCGCCAGGAGGGUGAGAAGCAGGAGGAGGGUCAUGACAGACUUUCAAAGAACAAGGUUGCCGUGAAAAAGAAAAAUCUUUCUAAAUACGAGGAGGAGGGAGAAGUGGAUGAUGAGGCGCGUCAUGACACAAAGAACAAGAGAAGAGGAGGAGCAUAUUGGGGAUGAAGACGACAAAGUACCAGCCUCAAAGAAAAAGAGCGCUGCUGAAUUUAGAAAGCAACUGGACGAACAGAUGUGGGAGAGAAAAAAAAUUGAACAAAUGCAAAGAAAUUUGCAGGAGUUGCGAAAUGAAGUUCCGUCUCUCAAAAGUGAAAAUGCACAUCUGAAAGAUGUUCUGGAAUGGGAAGCAACCUGAAUGGUGGGAAGCCAACCAGAGGGGACGGGGAGCAGCUGGUUGCCCUGGACAAAAUAAAAAAGGCAGCCAUUAUUGCUGAGUAAAUGCAUAAUGUGUUGAGAAGGGAAAACAAAACUUUUAAGACCUUACAAGUUCACCACUUUAACCAUAGCCUACUUGUAUCAAUGUUUAUUAGGCAUCAAUGGAGACUGCAUAAGGUAGGGCACCCAUUAUUGUUACUGUAUCUGCUUAGCACCUAUAAUACGAAUUCAUUGCUUCCUCACUUCUUGAUCCCACCUUUCCUUUUCUAAAACCACAUUUCUGGGGUAUUGCGCUCAAUGUGCUGUAAGGUGUGUAGUCUUCUAUUUUGUAGAACAUAUAGUGUUGCAAAUAACCUCAUGGCAUAUUGUUGUUGUCUGAAGUGUUCAUAAAUAAUAAUAUUCACCCCUCCUUCACCCUUAAUCCCCUCUGUCCUGCCUUAUUUUGUCUAUGCCGGUAAUUGAUUUGCUUGAUUUUAAAGCAUACCUUCUUCGAGCAUGUGUGUGUGCCAUUCGCUCAUUAUUGUUCCAAUAUUAUUAUAUUAUCUAAUUAUUUUUGUCUUCUCUAGAUGCUACAUUGAAGAAGUGGCCGGCAGCCAGCCGAGGGCAGAUAGGCACAGCUAUAAAUUCCAAGCUCGCAGUGAUGCGAAGAUCCAUGAAAUUAUUUUUUUUCCUUUCCAUUUUUUGUCAUUUUUGUUUUUGUACAUUUUGAUAGUCCUUAAAUAAAUAAUGUAAAUUUCUACAUUUUGGGCUUU
ensembl:lncRNA